UACGAAGGGUGCAAGCGUUACUCGGAAUUACUGGGCGUAAAGCGUGCGUAGGCGGUUUGUUAAGUCUGUCGUGAAAGCCCCGGGCUCAACCUGGGAAUGGCGAUGGAUACUGGCGAGCUAGAGUACGGUAGAGGAGAGUGGAAUUCCCGGUGUAGCAGUGAAAUGCGUAGAGAUCGGGAGGAACAUCAGUUGCGAAGGCGGCUCUCUGGACCAGUACUGACGCUGAGGCACGAAAGCAUGGGGAGCGAACAGG
rnacentral:rRNA from 1 species